rnacentral:lncRNA from 1 species
CUCUGUGCCAGGCCCUGCGCACCGGGACACGGAGAUGGCUGGGACCCCGUUCUUGCGCCGAGGGGUCCCUGGGCACAGGAAGGGGGAGACAGCCCCCUAAACAUACUGCUGUCCUUGGGGGUGGGCAGUGCGAAAGGGAUGCGCGAAGCGCUGAGCUGCUUGGAGGAGGGGACGAGCAUCCCCGGGCAGGCCGGAAGGCUUCAUGGAAGGGGAGACCUUGUGUCUGGCGCUCUCUGCGUCCCUCAGGAGGAGCAAGGCCGAGCCCUUCCAGCUCCAUCGCUGCAUGCUUCUCACCUCCCCAAGGGACCACCGCCCACCUGAUGCAGAGGUUGUGCUGAACACCGGGGCUCUGGGCUGGGUGGAGGUGUGGAUCCCGGCCCUGCCGGGUCCCAGUCUUCCCAGUCUUCAGGAGGAGGCAGCCAAGAAGCCCAGCCUUGCCUGCAGGAGGCGCAGGCAGUGCUGGGCGGGGGCUGGCCCUGCCGGCAUCUCCUUCUCUCCAGCGCCUCCAACCACGAGCCCUGCUCUGCCGACCCCAACUCUCCAUUUCCUGACCACGCUCCUGGGCAUCAGACACCGUCUCCAAGGGCCCCCUGGACGUGACAUCUCCCAGGUCCUUCUGCCUCCACAGAGUCAACACCGAGUUCCCCACCUGCCCCUCAGCCAAGCUGCUUCCCCCUAUGCAUGGCAGCAUCACCCCUCCGUGCGUGGGUCAGGCUGUGUGACUUCUCCUUCUCCACCCCAACCCACCCAGUCAGCUGAAAUUCAUCCAGUGCUGCCUCUGAGCUGGCUCUGAGCCUCUGCUCUGCUUUCCACCUGCUCCCACUGCCCCCGCACUGACCUUUUGUCCCUGUCACCUGGACUAUGUCCCCAGACUCUUCACAGGUCUUCCUGCUUUCACUCUCCCCAACCCCAUUCAUCUUACAUCCACUGUCAGAUUAAUCUGCCAACCACUCAGGUAUAACCUCAGAAGGCUCCGUGGCUCUCCACUGCCCACAGAAUAAAACUUGGGCUCAGUAACCUGACA